UACGAAGGGGGCAAGCGUUGUUCGGAAUUACUGGGCGUAAAGGGCGCGUAGGCGGUGCGUUAAGUUAGGCGUGAAAGCCCUGGGCUCAACCCGGGAACUGCGCUUGAUACUGGCGCGCUAGAAUCCAGGAGAGGUUGGUGGAAUUCCCAGUGUAGAGGUGAAAUUCGUAGAGAUUGGGAAGAACACCGGUGGCGAAGGCGGCCAACUGGACUGGUAUUGACGCUGAGGCGCGAAAGCGUGGGGAGCAAAC
rnacentral:rRNA from 1 species